UCGUUUGUUCCGAAUAUUUUUGAAUAUUAUAGCGAAUUGCUGUUAUAGACAAUGUAUUUUAUAAUAGAACAUGAGAUUUAGCUCCGGAAAAAAUUGGCUUUUAUAGAGAAGUGUCGUUAUAUAAGGAUGUUGUUAUAGAGAUGUCUGACUGUAUAUAUUGCGUGAAAAACCAUACUAUACAACACAUAUUAAGCUGUGAUUGAUGCAAAAUCUCUUCAUUCUAUACAUUUCAAUUUACUAGUAUUAGGGUACGCGCCUUGCACGUGUAACCUAUCUU
rnacentral:lncRNA from 1 species